rnacentral:lncRNA from 1 species
UAACCACCCGCGACAGCAUAGGGCUGAAAUAUGCAAAUGGCUCGAGGGCAAGCGCAACUUGAGCUUUUGGAUGAGCUAGGUAUCCAUCAAUAUAUUCUGCUUUGAAAAACUAGCAAUGAACCAAAAUUCACCAUUAUCCAAGAAUGUCUUGUACCAACAUUCAUAAUAUGCUCCAUGCAAGACACAUAUCAAGUGACUGAUUCUUGGUUUGAUCAUGAUGAGUGGAAGUUUAUACCUUCUACUUUAGGUAAGGGGGCUCUGAAUUUAUCUUAGAUGCUUCAUAACCUGUUUUAAUUAAAUGUCUAUAUCAUAAUAGCGUUGCCAAAAAAUUUGUUUGCCCUCCUUUAAAUUGUAUAGAAAACUAUGGAAAAAGAAAAGCGAUGAAAUAUUCAACAGUUGUUUCAGACAUUCUAUCAAACACCUUAGGUGCAUCUAGUCAUCCUUCUAGAUAUAAUGAGCAAAACAAAUCCAUGUCUACACUGGCCCUUUUUAAGGAUGGAUCCUGGAAUUAUGAGAAUAGUGAUAGAAGAUCUGUAUAGAUAUAGAGUUUUCUCAUUGAAUUCUUUGCUUAGAUCAAUUUGUGUUAAGUAUUCCUGACAUAAAAUCUAUGAGUUUAGUAUUUGUAACAUAAAGCUAUAACUACCUCUCAUUGUUUUCUCAAUCUUAUUGUAGUAAUAAAAUGAAGCUUACAAGAACUAGAUUCAUCAACUUAGUUAUUGUGAAACUCAAAUUAAAACUUACCCAAGUCAUAUACAACCAUUCAAUAGCACUUCUCUAUUUUAACCAUCCGAUUAGUAACAUCUUUAUCUAUCAUUCUAUUCUCUUGAAAUGAGAGCCUAGAUAUCUAAAUUGUUUGCAUUUUGAUACUGCAAUCACGUCAUCUCAACUUCGCUCAUCUCAUUAGAUACUGCACAGCUUUUCAAGAGAUUCAAAAGCUGAGAUCUUUUUGUAUAUUUGUUUCCGUGUGAUUUUCGUAGUUCUAACUUAUGACAUUAUGUUUCAACAGACAAUUGGCUUAGUUUUUAUUCAAAUUUUUGUAGAAAUAUUUGUCGUCUUUGCCAACACAACAAUCAUAUAUCUCAUAGACAUUCCUUCUAAAUUAUGUAAACACUUGCAGCUUCACAUUAAUUUCUUCUCUUCUCUCACCCCUUUAAAAUCAUUUUAGACUUCCAUAUAUCAUAACUACAUAUAUCAAGAAAGGAGUACAAUUCAUGAUUCAACGAGCUUGCUUGUGCCGACUUGAACGCUUAAUGCAAUUGCCAUAUGUAAUCAAGCAACAACUGAGAGCCGAUGAUUUGAUUACACCUAGUGUAGACUACUGACAAACUCAAGCCUGAUCAUUCUAAGUGCAGAAAGAGCAUCUCCCAUGCUAAUUCUUGCAUCAGGUGCCACUAAGGUGCAGCUCAAAGCUAAGUUCAUGAUAGAUAACACACACUGCAACUUUGCAUCCGUUUGGUCAUUCCCUGGUUGUACCAAAUUAGCAUCCACCACCUUAUGAAUUCUACUUGGAAAAGAAUCACUAACCCAACGUCGUAUGGUCAAGUCUCCAGUAAAUAUCUCAUCACUUGGUCUCAUUCUUGUAAAUGUCUCCAUCAUCAGGAUGCCGAAACUAUAGACAUCGCAACUCGUGGAUACUAUUCCAUGUUGGCCAUACUCUGCAAUCACAGUGGAAAAUGAUCAGAAAAGCUUCCUAGUUAGCUAGGAAUAUGCUAAAACAGAGAGUAUCGAUUUAUAUCUAGGGGAAAGAAUUGUCUUGGGAAUUCUAAUGAUAUGAGAAAGCCUAAAAAGUUCUAUACCUGGAGCAAUAUAUCCAAGGGUUGCAAUCGUCCCUGUUUGAAUAAAAGCCUCCCCUGCACCUAGUAAUUUUGCAAUGCCGAAAUCAGUGACAUGGCCAACCAUUUCUUGAUCUAGUAAGACAUUGCUUGGCUUCAAGUCAGAAUGCACCAUUGGUGCUAAAAAGCCAUUAUGGAGAUAGUCCAUUGCAGAUGCAACAUCUAUUAUUAUAUCUAAUCUCUGCAAUAAGUUCAAGAACAAGUUGUGAGAGUAUAACCAUUUAUCAAGUGUCCCAUUGGGCAUGUAUUCCAACACUAAGGCCUUGAAAUCAAGGUUGGAGCAGCUGGUGAUGAUUUUGGUCAGAUUUCUGUGGCGAAGGUUGCGUAGCAUCUCACAUUCGGUAUCAAAACUUUUGAAUGCACCCUCCAAUUGCACAUUGAAAACCUUUGCUGCUAAAGGGGUUCCAUCCUUAAGUGUUCCUUUGUAAACCGUGCUGAAACUCCCAUUACCAAGUAAGUUGCUUUCAUUGAAUCCUUCUGUUGCUUGUUCAAGUUCAUAAUAGGAAAUUCUUUCAUGCCCUUUUACCGGGAACACUUCUGCUUGACCUGCAUUCUUCUUUAGCAUUCGCAUUCUUAAAUAUACAUAUGCGAAGGUUAAUGCAAGAAACAGCAGGCCCACUCCCAAAAGGGUGUACAAAGCCAAGAUUGCUUUUUUUGUCUUGGUAGAUUUUAUGACGCAUGGUGACACAUGAAACUUGGAAUCACCACAGAGUGCAUCAUUGGACAAGAAAGAUUGAUCUGUGGCAUUUGUAAAAGGACCACCAGUGGGAAUCUCUCCACUAAGUUCAUUAAAUGAGAUGUUCAAAUAUUUGAGAUACACAAGAGCUUCUAGUGACUUUGGAAUUUCACCGCUAAGAUUGUUAUAGCUCAAAUCCAAGAAUUCCAAAGCCAACAUUUUUCCAAAUGAAUCUGGAAUAGGUCCAUCUAAUCUAUUAUGUGCUAGUGAAAGUUUAGUCAAUUUAUCCAGACUCCUUAGAGUGAUAGGAAUCUUCCCAAAAAAAUCAUUUUUUGACAGAUCAAUAAGUGUUGCCGCAUUUAAAUUUCCAAUCUCCAUAGGAAUUUGCCCACCUAAUAAAUUGGAUGAAACAUUGAAUUCUAUGAGAUCAUGAAGGUCCCCCAAGGCUGCAGGUAAGCUUGAGUUCAGUCUAUUGUAAGCUAGAUUAAUAUUCCUCAAAUUUGUAACUUUUCCUAAGCAUGGUGGCACAGAACCAGCAAACUGAUUUCUUGACAAGUUUAAUGCACCAAGUUUCUUUAAAUUGCAUAUAACAUCUGGUAUGGUUCCUUCUAACUUGUUAUUUUGUAGGUAAAGUUCUUGAAGACUCAGCAUGCCUUGGAUAGUAUUCGGGAUAUGUCCAGUCAACUCAUUGUUAGACAGACUCAUCUUUGUCACUCCAGUAAGAUUACCAAUUUCUUCAGGAAUGACGCCCUUCAGUUGACAAUCCUGUCCUACAAAACUUUGGAGAGAGUUAGAGAAAUUUCCAACAGAUGAUGGAAAAACACCACCCAACGGAUUAUCAGCAAACCAGAGUACUUUUAGAUUCCUACAGUCUGUCAAAGAUGUCAGGAAGCUCAUUGAUGAAUCGCUGGAAAAAUUAUUCCCCCACAAGUUGAGAAACUCAAGGUAUUUUAAGUUACCAAGUGAUUUAGGAAUUGGACCUGUGAAACUGUUGAAUGAGAAUUCAAGACCUAUGAGUCUUGAAG